rnacentral:rRNA from 1 species
GACGAACGCUGGCGGCGUGCCUAAUACAUGCAAGUGGGACGCAAGGGAACACACUGUGCUUGCACACCGUGUUUUCUUGAGUCGCGAACGGGUGAGUAACGCGUAGGUAACCUGCCUAUUAGCGGGGGAUAACUAUUGGAAACGAUAGCUAAUACCGCAUAAUAUUAAUUAUUGCAUGAUAAUUGAUUGAAAGAUGCAAGCGCAUCACUAGUAGAUGGACCUGCGUUGUAUUAGCUAGUUGGUAAGGUAAGAGCUUACCAAGGCGACGAUACAUAGCCGACCUGAGAGGGUGAUCGGCCACACUGGGACUGAGACACGGCCCAGGCUCCUACGGGAGGCAGCAGUAGGGAAUCUUCGGCAAUGGACGAAAGUCUGACCGAGCAACGCCGCGUGAGUGAAGAAGGUUUUCGGAUCGUAAAGCUCUGUUGUAAGUCAAGAACGUGUGUGAGAGUGG